UGGACCCAAGCCCAAUGUUGAAUCUCCGCCCCCGCCGAGCUCGUCUCCCCGUAGAUGCCCACCUCGCGCGAGCACUCCGGCGCCACCGCGUGACCCCUCCUCCCGUAGCUCUGCCUCACCGUGCCAUGACGCAUCAUCGCCGGCCUGCCCGGCCGUCGUCCCUACCGCAUCUCCCCGAGCUAGCAGCCUCCUUUCUCUGGCACACGCACGCACUCUGGCCCAAGCACCCGGGCUGUGCGUUGGGCGGCGCGACCGGACGGCACAGGCUCCAUUCCGACGAAAUGGAGGGAGGUAGCCGACUAGCCGGGAGGCAGCAGGACGCUUGUCGUCGAGCCGGAUGGUGCACACCAGGCGUUCGAUCAAAUGCGUGCCCUUGGAGAUGCGCCAACUAAUCUCGUUUUCGGCCGUGGCUCCAUCAGCAUCGAGUACGGUAACGGCGGCGCUUCGUGGGAGAAAAUCAGUACCUGUAUAUAGAGGGUGGCUCGCUGCACGGCCAAGAGACCGCAGAUCCAAUAGCUGGGGCGGAGUACUUACUGAGGUAGCCUUUGGGAAUCAGACGCCUCUCCGGGUCUGGCGGAUGUGGCCGUUCAAGCACCCUACUGUAUCGCCCGCAUCCCCAGCCGGCUGUGCCGAACCAGCCGGUGGCCGUUGCGCGGUCUCCGGGCUCCGGGCACGAUACCGGACCGGCCUGCCGGUCCAGUUGUCCCUGAUCCGAACCGCUCUGUGGAUGCAUCUCUCAACGUGUCCCGGGUGGGUGGAAGCGCAGGCAGCACCAUCCAGCUGUAGUGCUGUACGCGAUGAAGAGUGGUCAUUGUAAACCAUGUACCUCCACUCGUGGCGGCAAUCAGGAGUUUUCCUCAAGGAGCGAAUUCUGCAAUCUGUACUCGUGGGAGUAUGGUGUUCGUAUCAGGAAAGUGUCACCAAAACGUCCCAGAGAUUGUUUGCAGUUGUGCAGGCAGCCGGACAGGGAGAACAGUUCAUCCGCUAGAACAAAGUGCCCUGUGAUGCUAAGCCUGUUAAGGACGGAAGAUGGAGGCUGGUAUGGUAUUUAUGUGCGCACAGGGUGUUGCAUAACCAUGAAUGCCUCGGAACUUGUAGUGCACGUGGGGUUCCUAAUCUUGAAGUCUGAAGUGCCUUCACGACCGGAGCAAGCGCCACCCGGACCAGACUGGCAUUGCACUUGAGAUGGUGUUGUGAUGACCUCCUGAAGUAUGCAGCAGCAUCUCUCAUGCACAUCCUCUCUGUUGGUGCAUGAUUGCUGCAUGAUAGCGCAACCUUCAUGACAGACAAUAUGGCAUUGCUGCCAUGUUCCAUUGUGU